UAAGCGGAGGAAAAGAAACUAACAAGGAUUCCCCUAGUAACGGCGAGUGAACCGGGAAAAGCUCAAAUUUGAAAUCUGGCGUCCUCAGGGCGUCCGAGUUGUAAUCUAUAGAGGCGUUUUCCGUGCCGGACCGUGUCCAAGUCCCUUGGAACAGGGUAUCAAAGAGGGUGACAAUCCCGUACUUGACACGACUACCGGUGCUCUGUGAUACGUCUUCUACGAGUCGAGUUGUUUGGGAAUGCAGCUCAAAAUGGGUGGUGAGUUCCAUCUAAAGCUAAAUAUUGGCGAGAGACCGAUAGCGAACAAGUACCGUGAGGGAAAGAUGAAAAGCACUUUGGAAAGAGAGUUAAACAGUACGUGAAAUUGUUGAAAGGGAAACGAUUGAAGUCAGUCGUGACCGAGAGGCUCAGCCGGCUCUGCCGGUGUAUUCCCCUCGGUCGGGUCAACAUCAGUUUUGUCCGGUGGAUAAGGGCGGUAGGAAGGUGGCACCCACGGGUGUGUUAUAGCCUGCCGUCGCAUACACUGGGUGAGACUGAGGAAUGCAGCUCGCCUUUAUGGCCGGGGUUCGCCCACGUCCGAGCUA
rnacentral:rRNA from 1 species